AGCUGGAGUUAAAUAUCGUGCCAACUCGAAGAUCGGAAUUCAAAAUUUUUAAAAACCCGAAUUUCAAGCUGCAGUUGAAUUUCGAGCCAGCUCAAAGAUCGAAAUUCGAAAAAUUUAAAGACAAGAAUUUCAAUUCGAUUGAACUUUUUUUAAGAAUCAACUUAUUGCAACCAAUCUUUUCAAGACUGUCAUGGUUUUUAACGUUCAAUGUUCGUUAAACUAUUGACACUAGCGUGUAUAUUGACGUUACGUUAUAUUACACUGCAAAUGAAUUUCCGUAAGUGUUCAUCUUUUUAACUUUUGUCAGAUUUGUUCUUUUUUCACAUUUAUACUUAAAAAGAAAAUAUUCUCAAAUUGUAGUUAAUGAAUAAACAAAAAUCUUUAAAGAUACACAUUUGACACAUGUUCUUUAAAUAUUGUCUUUUACAUCAAGUUUAGUUGGUUUCUUUCAAUACAGGACAGUUCCAUUCGGGGAAAAUUUGGGAAAUUUGAGUAGGUUCUUUUGUGUGUACUUGCAACGGACACUGUCGAGGCUCUUUGAUGUUUAUAUGUUCUGUUAACUGACCAUAAAAUCAGUAUGCAAUUGAUAUGUUAAUAAAACCGGAAAAUAUUACAUUUUUCAAAGCUUUUCUUUUUUAUGUUUUCUGACAAAUGUCAGAUCACACUAUUUCUUUCCUUUAAAAGAAAAUGGUAAUUCAGGAUUACAUCUUGGUUCUUUAUUUUUGUAUACAGAAUCCGUAUUUGCAAGAAUACGAAAUUUUGUAUUUUAGGAAUUUGCGGACUUUUAAUAAAAAAGAUCCGUAUUUAAGUAAAGUAAAGACUACGUACAACAAAGUUGCCGUAUAUUUCGAAUGUACGAAUAACGAUAUUAGUUAUGUACGUAUUGCAUGAUAUACAUGUACGGCCCUGCACACCUCCGUAUUUUAAAUUUCAUACCUAUUUAUAAUAAUUUAUGUAGAAUUCCGUACACUUCGGUAUAUCUGCAGUGGUCAUAAUGUCAUUUAUAGAGGAAUUUUAACACAAAUAUUUAUAUCAGCAUAAAGAAAAAUAAAACAAUUUCCGUUGAAUACAGCAGCAUUUUAGAUAAUGUGUUUGCCGGUGGCGUGGUAGUCCCCGUAACAGUUGUCAAGGAUACGCAGCGAACGGUCUUUGUUGGUCAACUUUGACGUCGUGUACAAAAAUUGGCUGAAACUAUUAAAAAAAAUUCAACGGAUUCUAAUCUGAAAUAUGUCAACAUUUUACAUGACGCUACUCGAAAGUUCGCAAAGUGUCGCGUUCUACCCUAAUUGUAUUUUAUGUUAAUUGUUGCCUGAAGUAUAUAUUAUAAUGUAAAAGAAAUUGUUUGGAUGAAAUUAAUUUGAGUAUUUGUGAAAAAAGAUUUUAUUUAAGGACAUUACUUGAACACUUUUCUUACGCGGAGCAAUAUCUACUUAAAUACAGGCGGUGAUGCGGCAACCCUAAAUUACACGUUGAAACUGUUUUGUCGGGAAAGAAUAAUAAUGGUACUAUUAAAAUAAUAUAAGAACAUGAUAAAACAAGAAACAUGGCAAUGCCACGAAACCAGGUUUUCAAUUAUCUCCAUUGUAGAUAAAUAUGUUGUAUUUGUAAUACAAAUGCAAGCAAUUAACAAUGUAACUAUGUGCAAUGUAAAACAUGAAUAAUGUAGGAGGAAUUGCCACAGAAGAAGCGUCACUGUAUAUUCUGUAUAAGGAAAAAAUGUAUUCUGUAUAACGAAAAAAUACAAAGGGCCAUAAUUAGGUCAAAAAUUAUCCAAUCACAAAACCUCUACAAUAUGCGCCAGGGCACAUGAUGACAAAGCUUCUGUGAAAGUUUGAACAAAAUCUGUUGAGAAAUGUAGGACUAGUUCAGCACAGAAGAAUUUGUUCACUAUAUAUUGAUAAUUCUGUAUAAGGAAAAAAAACAAAGGGGCAUAAUUAGGUCAAAUAUUAUCCAAUGGCAAAACCCGGACAAUAAGUGCCAUGGCACUUGAUGACAAAGCUUCUGUAAAAGUUUGGUCAAAAUCCG